rnacentral:rRNA from 1 species
UACGUAGGGGGCAAGCGUUGUCCGGAAUCAUUGGGCGUAAAGAGCGUGUAGGCGGCCCGAUAAGUCCGCUGUGAAAGUCCAGGGCUCAACCCUGGGAUGCCGGUGGAUACUGUCGGGCUCGAGUCCGGAAGAGGAGUGUGGAAUUCCGUGGUGUAGCGGUGAAAUGCGCAGGAUAUCAGGAGGAACACCAAUGGCGAAGGCAGCACUCUGGGACGUGACUGACGCUGAGACGCGAAGCGUGGGUAGCAAACA